rnacentral:tRNA from 1 species
GCGUCUGUGGUUUAGUGGUAAAAUCCAUCGUUGCCAUCGAUGGGCCCCGGGUCCGAUUCCCGGCGGACGCA